GAUGGAGGGGGAUAACUACUGGAAACGGUAGCUAAUACCGCAUAACGUCGCAAGACCAAAGAGGGGGACCUUCGGGCCUCUUGCCAUCGGAUGUGCCCAGAUGGGAUUAGCUAGUAGGUGGGGUAACGGCUCACCUAGGCGACGAUCCCUAGCUGGUCUGAGAGGAUGACCAGCCACACUGGAACUGAGACACGGUCCAGACUC
rnacentral:rRNA from 2 species